rnacentral:rRNA from 1 species
UACGUAGGUCCCGAGCGUUGUCCGGAUUUAUUGGGCGUAAAGCGAGCGCAGGUGGUUUAUUAAGUCUGGUGUAAAAGGCAGUGGCUCAACCAUUGUAUGCAUUGGAAACUGGUAGACUUGAGUGCAGGAGAGGAGAGUGGAAUUCCAUGUGUAGCGGUGAAAUGCGUAGAUAUAUGGAGGAACACCAGUGGCGAAGGCGGUCUGCUGGACAGCAACUGACGCUGAGGCGCGAAAGCGUGGGGAGCAAACAGG